rnacentral:rRNA from 1 species
GCCUACCGCCAUCCUCGGGGGGGCUUCGCGUGGGAUUAGUUUCUCGUGCGUUUGUCGACCCGUCUUUUACUGUGAAAAAAUUAGAGUGUUCAAAGCAGGCUGAGGCCGUUGAAUACAUUAGCAUGGAAUAAUGAGAUAGGACCUUGGCGGUCUAUUUUGUUGGUUUGCACGCCAAGGUAAUGAUUAAUAGGGAUAGUUGGGGGUAUUC